AAUUUACCAGGACAAAACUAAUUAGGGGGCAGGGAAGAGACGGACUUGACUUGGCGGAAACACAGUACCUAAAGGUUCAUUAUUUGUGCUGGAGUCUGGUGUAGCAGUUCCCGGUGGCUUCCUGCUGCCAGACCCUGGGUCUCGUGUGCCCAGGGGCUUCCCUAGUGCUCGCAGGGGCUGUCUGCUACUAAUCUUAGGCUACGUGUUCCCUGGCGUUGGAUUUCUUCAUCAUUGGCACCCAGGCCACACUGGCACCAAGCCACACUGGCACCCAGGCCACACUGGCACCCAGGCCACACUGGCACCCAGGCCACACUGGCACCCAGGCCACACUGGCACCCAGGCCACACUGGCACCCAGGCCACACUGGCACCAAGCCACACUGGCACCCAGGCCACCCUGCAGGAAGUUACAACUGUUCUCUGCACACUGUAACCACAUACCUCACCACCAUCACCAAAGAGGUAUGAAGUACAGGAAGACACCACCUCCAGUAUUUCAUUCCUCAUCACAAGCCCAAGCGCUGGAGCCCUACAUGAACAAAUGUCAUGCCACGAAUGCAGGCACCCAGGCCGCACACUGAAGAUCAUCAUACUUGGCCCUACACUGCUGCCAUAUACUCCACCACCUUCACUGAGGAGUUAUGAAGUGCAGGAAGACAUCACUCCUGCCAUCCUUCACUCAUCAUCAGCUCUGGUGUUCCAGUUCAACUUGAACAACAAAUGUCAUGCCGCAGUUACAGCUGGCCUUCACCUUCAUGAUGGUGAACGGAUACACAUCUGAGGAUGUUCAACAGUGCUUGAGUUGCAGGAUCCCACCAGGAUCAUAUCAUUCAGAAAGAGGACAGAUGCAGCAAACCAUCGUCUAUAUGAUAGAGAAAUACUGUCAAUAUCCACCCAAUAAACUCCUUGUAUGGACUGUCUUACAAGAGUUGUGGCACAUAUGAAGUAUAGGUCAGUGAUGCCCUGUAAAACAUCACUCACGGCCUUUCCAAACUGCUUGUCUCAUCUGGACUUCAUAGCUCAAGAACGCUACUCAUGGAGGAUGCUGAUUAACCCAACAUAAACAGGGAUACUGUCUAACCUCCUCGUAGACACCUCCAACGGAACACUGAAUUGGAUUCAUCCUUGACCCGACUUGUUCUUGAAUUACAGUAGAUCCAAACAGUGACCCAGCACGGUCAUUUAUACCAGAGUUGUUACCUUUGCUCCGCCUCUAAACGCCUCAGGCUCUACCCACCGUACGAUAAUUCCAAUAUUUUACACAGAUUUUCAUAAUUCCACGUUGAAUUAUUAGCAAAUACACUUGAACAUGAGGGUAUAUUGAAAUGCUCAUAUGCAUAUUUCAAUAUAAAUUGAUCAUUCUUUAAUUUAUCUCAACUAAAAUCUUUAAAUAAAUAUGGUAUAAUUUUCUUUACGCUAUAAUUUGUUAACUUAUACACAAAAUAUAUAGCAUAUAAGACGCACAACAAUGAUUUUUCAUGUUGAAUCCUCUGAUUAAUACCGUACAUGAAAUUUCUCUUGUAUAUAAUUUUCUCAUAUAUUUGUAUAAUGUUUUAAAUCCAUCCCGAUUUAAUGUGUUUGUUCACAUAUAUAGUAAUCCAAUGAGCCAUAUUUUCAUCUUGAUCGUUCAAUAUAUUAAUGAUGAAAAUUACCGGCUUAUCUUUUAUCCUCAUAAUAACUUCAUUUAUAUUAUUUGCGGCAAAACAUCCCAAAUACGAGGCUGUAUCUUCCCGUAUGAUGUUUCAAGGCAAUAUUUAUCUCUUCACAAUUCAUGCUCUAUACUCGUGUAUGUAAUAUCACUGUUCUAUUUUCAUUUAUAUUUAAAAUCACAUUAGUUUCACCAAACAUCAGACAAAUUCUAUUCUCAUCUUUCUGUUUACCAAAUGUCAUAUCUAUUCUCAAAUUACCAUUCUUCUGGACAGAUAUAGCAUUCUUAACCUGUUCACUUCUCAGGUCAACACCUAAUAUAGUUCUGCCUUGGAGAAAACUCUUAUAUGUAAUCAGAUGAUCAGUCUCCAAACCCAGAGAUUUCAAGGUAGCGUAAUAUAACCUACUCGCGUGUGUAGGAAACUUAGUCAAUAUUAAGAAUCGUUUCUGAAUUAAUUGUAACCCCGAAAUGAUUCAAAUCUUCAUGUUGAAAAUAUAAUGGAUUAAAAUUAUAUCCUCCAUCAUAUGUCUUCAUAUCAACUAUUAUAAUAAAUAUCUUAUCGGGUAUGACUUGUCCCCAAGGAUUAUCUGCGAUCAAUUGUUUGAUUAGAUGCCAGAAUAUGAUUUAAAUAAUGUCUUCUUGAAUAGAUAUUCACACCCCUGCGGGUUUACCCCCAUGCUUGAAUUCAAUGCAGUUAAUGCAUUCGUAUACGGAAUAACUUUAUCGAGCCAUAAUAUAAUAGAAUUAAUAUUAUAUUUAUAUGUUUUUCCGGUUAAUGGAGUCAUAAUUGCCCAUGUGGGUGAAUGUAAUUAAAGUCUCAAUCGACAUUCGACACUAUCCAGGAUAUAUUCGUCAAAACUACUCACAUCCAGCAUCAAAGGGAAACAAGUAUUCACUUCAUUCGAUAAUUUACCUUCGUCUUUCUUAAUAGCAUUGAAAUCAGCCGCUGUAAUAGCACUAUUUGUUGUCUCAUUAUUACGAAAGAAUGCUAUUCUUCCCAAUGUAUCUAAUUUUGAUGUUGAUAAAUGCUUAAGCAGUUUAAUAUAACCCGCAUAUGAAUAAAAUGGAUUCGAUUCUAUAAGUUGUUCAUUGAGAUACAAACAUAGAUUUGAAUAUUGUCUGACUUAUAGAAUUCACAAAUAUCGCCUUAUCUCCAUCUCCCAAUGCACUCCCAUCCUCGUUUGUUAUAUUUAUGUUCAUUUCCAACGCGACUCUUUAAAUCUAAAAAAUGACCUUCUGAACUUUGUAUUCUAAAUUCGAGAAAUUUAUCAGAUCCCUGAUUUACUGGUAAUGCUUCACAGGUGCGUCUAGCUGCUAUCGAGGAUUCAAUAAUGGCGUGUCCUGGUAAUUUUGGGAAUCCAUCAGUUAUGGAAUGAGAAUAACUGGGAACAGGGGCGUUGAGCCCCCCUGGUGUAACGUAUAGAGCACCACCCGACAUACUAGCAAUAUGGAAGUUAACAAUAAACUAAAAUUAAUUAAAUAUUCCACUUUCUUUUGUUAUUAAAUUUCAAUCGAUUCAAACCAAUCUUUCUACUUCCUCCGGAUAAUAACUUUUGUCCGACACCCAUCAAUGUUUCUACAUUGAUGGGUGAAUGGCUGAAUUUUUCAAUGCAAUACCAUCAUUAACAUCGUUCAACACAUUUCGUCCGUAUUGUAAUACUCCCGGAGCAAAGGUAUUCAAUAAGAAUGGUAUUGCUUUUCUGGCCAUCCCACCGAGAAAUGACAAUAAUCCUCCGCCCCUCCCUCUAGCUUUAUAUAAUAUGAUAUCUAAACCUCCCCCUUUCACCCUCGAAGUAUCAAAGAGUUUCAGGAAUGAUUCCACUGAAGGAGGGGAGAAACUCGUUCUCAUCUUGACGGUUCGUUCAAUAUUAACUCAACUUGAUCAUUCACUCUCGUUUUAUAGGUCUUAAAUGUAGUACACAUACAGUAGAACACUUGUCAUUAUAUUGAAUUAACCUUCCUUUCUGAUCAGCGAGCUUAAUACUCACUCUGUGGUAUUAAGUGGUUUGUACAUUGUGGGAUCAUAAUUAGAUCUUAAUGUAUUAAUAUCAACUACUCCCAAAAGAGAUACCAACUGAUCGCCAAAAUUAAUGGAAUCAAUCAAAUCACUAUAUAUUAACAUAUAAUUAAUACCUGAUUCAGGAUCGGGUGGGUUUACCGCCUUUACACCAGACUCGUUAAAAAUAAUUUUUUUUUAUUGGUAAAGACAUACAAAAUUUCAUUACCUGAGAACCCUAACAUAUCGCUUCCUUCUUUAUCAAAUUCCAACCCCACAUAACCGCUAGUAAUAUCAGAAAGUAGUAUCAUUUUUUUUUUCACGUUAAUAACCACUCUGUUUAUUCCUGGAUGAUAUGUGAACACAAUUGAGUUUUUUGGGAUGAUAAUACACGUUAUCUUUUUAACUGCUAUUAGCAGAUUUUCAUUAAUAUCCUCAUUUAUUGCCUCUAUAAUCCUUGUCAUAUCACCUCCAAUAAUUUUGCUCAUAUCAAUUUUAUGGAUAUUUAAUGUAGAUUUCUCAUAUUUAAUACAUAUCUUCAAAUUCUUUUGUGGUAUAUAAUGUGUCUUAGUGUAAAUUUAUUUUUUCAGAGCAACCUCAUAAUCAAUUUUAUUAUCUAAUAUAAUGGGAUCAUAUAAUUUAUUAAUGAAAGCUUAAGGUGUGCAAGAAUGGUAUAUAAUACCGACAAGAUGAAAUUAAGACACAUGUUACAUCUGGGUAUCUUUAUUGUAGACGUUUCGCCAUCCAGUGGCUUUAUCAAUACAGAUUCUAGGACAUAACUUGAAGACAGUAGGACUAAUACAAAUUCUAGGACAUAGCUUGCAUAUAACUAGUCCUACUGUCUUCAAGUUAUGUCCUGGAAUUUGUAUUGAUAAAGCCACUGGAUGGCGAAACGUCUACAAUAAAGAUGCCCAGAUGUUGCACAUGUGUCUUAAUUUCAAAGCUGAAGGUGUAUUGGCGGGAAAUAAAUCAAGACUGGAAUCACUACAGACGUAUAGAAGACGUUCAGCCAUCUCCAACACUCUUAUAACACACUGAGUAAAAACGCAUCAUCACAGAGUUUAUAUACUCACCUAAUAUGCUGUCCACGAUGAUUCCUCUCUCCAUACACCGCCUCCUUUAUGUAAUAAUUGUCUUCUCACUUUUGUAUUCCUCACAAAAUCAAAAUGUACCUACCUGGAGUCUACCUGGAGGGCAUUCCGGGGAUCAACGUCCCCGCGGCCCGGUCCACGAUCAGGCCUCCCGGUGGAUCAGGGCCUGAUCAACGAGGCUGUUACUGCUGGCCGCACGUAAUCCAACGUACGAACCACAGCCCGGCUGAUCCGGCACCAUCUUUAGGUAUCUGUCCAGCUCCCUCUUGAAGACAACCAGGGGUCUUCCCGUAAUGCCCCUUAUUGCUGGUGGGAGGCUGUUGAACAGUCUUGGGCCCCAGGAGGCCUGGUCACAGACCGGGUCGCGUUGACCCCCGGAACUCUCUCCAGGUAAACCAGUGAUGCCCCUACUUUUCACUGGGGAUAUGUUGUAUCGCCUGCCAAGUCUUUUGCUUUCGUAUGGAGUGAUUGUUGUGUUAUAUUUAAUAAAUGCUUUAUUUCUGUUAAGUAAUCAGAAUCGAUUCUUCUCGCUGAUUUCACAUUGUUUUCUGAUAAGACGUUUAAUAUUUCAAUAAUAUUACGUCCAGUAAUGGGGGUAAGAAGGUCACCAUUCUCAUCCCAACUCACCAAAGGAUUUCUUUGCAAUAAUACCAACGUUGAUUUCACAUAUUCUACAUUUCUCGUACUCUUAUGUGCAUGAAUCUUGACAAAUCUGGGGUUUUCUGAGGUUUCACCGAGGUGAGUGCAGGUGGGUUGACUUCCCUGACAGGACUGAGCUUAAUCUUGCGUUUAACAGCACACUUCAAGCAUCCACCUCCUCCUAAAUUCUCAUCACCUCCCGAUUUUACUAUCUCGAGAGGUUUCCGAUUCAUAACUGAAGUUGGUACAAGAUAAAAUUCUCUCAUGAUUUAUUAAACAAUCUUGAAAUAUCUACUGCUAGAGGUAAUAUAAUACUAAGAAGAUUUCCACCUCUGAUACUCAGCAAAUAUUUCUUUUUACGCUGAAAACCAAUUUUCUUACAAGCUAAUGCUCUAAUCUCGUUCUUGUACUUUUUAAAUAUUUUAGGGUCUAAUGGUAUUUCAUUUUUGAUCAAAUUCUUGAAAAUCUCACUGAUACAACCUAUGUGUGUUUUCUUAAACUGUUGUAAUAAACUCUUCUGUUGAUUGCCUUUAAAUUUUUCUAAUAAUUAUUUUGGAGUGAGAUGGAAUAUUUCACGACCAAUUCCCAACCUACUUCAUGAGUUGAUGGGUUUGUUAGGAGCGAGAUCCACCCCACCAUACGUAGUGCAUCUCUCCCCCACCCCGCCUCCUACCCACCCAUAUGGAGAUGCUCCUGCCCCUCCUACCAACGAUGAGAUCGCGCCUUCUCCCCACCCUCAUGUGGAUAUCGCUCCCGCUACGUCUAGCACUAAUAAUAAUGUGAAUGAAGAGAUUAAUAUGAGAGGAGAAUGUGCCAGUAGCUGUUAUUGUGAUAAAUGUGUAUGGAGUGAGAUGGAAUAUUUCACGACAAAUUCCCAACCUAGUUCAUGUGUUGUUGAGGAUUCCCCGUCUUCCCCCAUAAAUUAUCCACCGGCUUCCUCACCAUCAUCCUCCCCAGAAGUUUAUUAUAUAUCAGAUGACGACGAAGAAGAUCCAGAACAAAAUGCACAGAAUUUCUUCAAGAGAAGAAGAAUUACUCUGUUGAUUUUAGUCAAUGAAUUGUACCUUUUUUCAAUUAAUUUGUAUUUUUUUUUGUUGGAUUUAUAUGAAAUGUAUAUGAAAUAAAGUGUAUUGGUUGUAUAAUAAAUAAAUAAAUGAAAAUAUGAUUCUCAGAUCACUUGUGAAUUAUGUAGUAACAUCUUCAAAAAUGCCCAAGACAAACAAACAUCAUGACCACACUUUAAAAUUCAAUAAUUAUAUUGGUGCCUAUUGUGCUCGUUGUAAUUUGCAAUGUAAAGAUAAGAGUGAGAAAUUAUUACUUUUUUUGUCAUAACAUGUCAUAUGAUUUAGGAAUAAUUUUAAAGGAAUUGCAGGUUGAUAAAUAUGAAAUUGAACUUCAUUCGAAUCAAGGACUCAAAUUCUUGAAAGUAGACAUAGGUCAGGUUAGGUUUCAAGAUUCUCUGUCUUUAUUGAAUGGAUCUCUUUCCACUUUAGCAGAUCAGCAUAUCAAGGCAGGUAAAUCAUUGAAAUAUACAGAGGCUAUUCUGAAAGAUGUGCCUCAGGAUGUCUUACCUUUAUUAUGUAAAGGAAAAAAAGUUUUGUGCUAUGAUUAUAUUGAUAGUUUAAAGAAA